CCACCUCCUGGCUGCGCCCCAGCCCGGCCUCUCAGAAGCGGCCGCUUCCUCGUGGACGGUGGAGGCGGCGGCGAGCUAGAGCCCGCGUCCCAGCUCGCGGCCACAGAGAGGCCGGGCGAGCCCGAGCGCGCGGAGACCCAGCCCGGCUCGGCAGGCAGCUCUGCGCGCGGCUGGAGUCAUGGUAUACUGAAAAGGCACUCAAUCAAGAGAAAUCUAGAGGGAGCUGGAAACCAUCAAGUUUUUGAGGCCAUACAGGGGGCAGGAAAGAUAGAGGAAAAAAGGUUUAUCAGCAUUUCUUCCUGAACCUGCCUUAGAAAUAACAGCAUAUUUUAAUCAGAGAUUUGUAAGUAUCAUUUUCUUCUUUAUUUAGGAAAUUAGAUACUGAUUUUGUGGAAGAGAUUACUUCUUCAGUAAAACACUUGACAGGAUACAACUAUGCAAUCUGAGUUGGCGUGCAAAAUUUGAGUGAGAGUAAAACACACACAAAAAUCACCCUUCAGAAAACAAAGCAAAGAAACCAAAU
rnacentral:lncRNA from 1 species